rnacentral:lncRNA from 1 species
AGACACUUGUUAAAUGAGUAAUUACUUAUUUGUGUAGAUUAAUAUAACAUACAGAAUGUAUAUAUAUUCCGCUACUAUUUUGAAAGCGGCUAAACAAUAUUAUUUUCUCUAAUAUAUACCAUUUCCUUUACCCUAAGUCUCUUACCUUAUUAUUUCCUCUACCACAUUUAAGGAAUGGUCAUAUUUAAAGAUCAAGGGAAUGAAAUUCAAAUUAAUGGAAAACAGAAUUAGCCAUGAUGAUGUUUUGUUGUUUUGUUUUGUUUUUGUUAUACUAUUGGAGUGUUGGUGGCAUACAUUUGAUCCCCUUACUUUCGUUUUGUUGCAUGUGCUUGUUGACAUAAUUUUUAUAUUAUAAAUGGUGUUCGUCUUAUUUUAGGGCGAACAUUUGAUCCCUUACUUUAAUUUUAUUGUAUGUGCUUGUUGACACAAUUUUUCUAUUAUAAAUGGUGUUCGUCUUAUUUUAGCUUCUUUUUGUCCAUAUUAGUUGGGCGCGUUUAUAGCGAUAUACUUCCGUGGAAUCCUGCAAAAAAUUUUAUUGGUGUAAUCGAUAACCGAAUCGAUAAGCCCCCUAAAAUCGAUAAAUUGAAAUCGAAAAAAUCGAAACUUUAUUGAAAUGAUAACGAUAAGCACAUGUACAAAUCGAUAAUCGAUAAGUAAUUAUCCAUAAAAGUCAAAAUCGAAUCGAUAAAUCGGAUGCACACACCUAGUCCGCGAGGUGCGGGCAGGUACGUAUACUAAUAAUUCCUUCAUAUGAUUAAAGUCCUCUCAAGUUUUUGAAAUGCAAGUUUCAUGAAAAUGUAGGCUUAAUCUUGUAAUGAUAUAGUUAACCUUUUUCUUUAAUACUGUCAGACGCUCAGAGCAUUUUAAAAGUGAACUAUAUAGACCUCUAUAUUAAGUAUGAUUAUCGGCAAUAUGAAGUAAAUUAAGUAACAUAUUACACUCAAUUAAAGUAUACCAAUUGUGUAAAAUAUAUUACGAUGUUGGUUUGGUGUAUCUUUGUUAAAUUAUUAAAUAACAAAAAGAACAUAGUAUGCAGAGUGUGUAAUCUAAUCA